CUUGCCGCCGGCGACCGGCUACGGGUGAGUAACACGUAUGCAACCUGGCCGUGACAGAUGGAUAACCGGGAGAAAUCCCGCCUAAUACAACAUAAUGCCGGGAGGGGACAUCCCCUGCCGGUCAAAGGGGGCGACCCGGUCACGGAUGGGCAUGCGGCGCAUUAGGUAGUUGGUGGGGCAACGGCCCACCAAGCCGACGAUGCGUAGGGGUUCUGAGAGGAAGGUCCCCACAUUGGAACUGAGACACGGUCCAAACUCCUACGGGAGGCAGCAG
rnacentral:rRNA from 1 species